CCAACAUGGGCAUCCAACGAGGUGGCUCUCGCAUGGCUCUGCCCAUGUGGCGUAUGGGAGCCUAGCUCCAUUGGGGCAUUGAAGUAGAGUCCCAUUCCACAAUGUUGGACAGAAAGCUUUUCCCUCUUUGCUGAAAAGGCUGUGAUGGGAGGCGUCCUGUAUAUUCCUACAACUUCUCAGUAUUUAUGGUUGCUGAGAAGACAAACCAUGCAGGACACAUGU